rnacentral:rRNA from 1 species
UACGUAGGGACGAGCGUUGUCCGGAAUUACUGGGCGUAAAGGGCGCGCAGGCUGUAGAUCAAGUCAGCUGUGAAAUGUCUGGGCUUAACCCGGGCACGCGGUUGAGACUGCAGUGCUGGAGUGCUGUAGAGGCAAGUGGAAUUCCCAGUGUAGCGGUGAAAUGCGUAGAUAUUGGGAAGAACACCGGUGGCGAAGGCGACUUGCUGGGCAGCAACUGACGCUGAGGCGCGAAAGCCAGGGGAGCAAACGGGAUUAGA